rnacentral:rRNA from 1 species
UACCAGCUCUCCGAGUAGUGUGGAUGUUUAUUGGGCCUAAAGCAUCCGUAGCUUGCUAAGCAAGUCCCCUGUUAAAUCCACCGAUUUAAUCGUUGGAUUGCGGGGGAUACUGUUUGGCUAGGGGACGGGAGAGGCCGACGGUAUUUCCGGGGUAGGGGUGAAAUCCUAUAAUCCCGGGAAGACCACCAGUGGCGAAGGCUGUCGGCUAGAACGCGCCCGACGGUGAGGGAUGAAAGCUGGGGGAGCGAACCGGAUUAGAUACCCGGGUAGUCCCAGCUGUAAACGAUGCAGGCUAGGUGUUUGGGCGGCCACGAGCCGCCCUGGUGCCGCAGGGAAGCUGUUAAGCCUGCCGCCUGGGGAGUACGGCCGCAAGGCUGAAACUUAAAGGAAUUGGCGGGGAGCACCACAAGGGGUGAAGCUUGCGGUUU